rnacentral:pre_miRNA from 1 species
AAACUACUCCCUCCAUUCCAAAUUACUCGUCACAGAAAUGGAUGUAUCUAGAAUUAAAAUACAUCUAGAUACAUCCAUACCUACGACAAGUAAUUCGGAACGGAGGGAGUAGAUG